rnacentral:rRNA from 1 species
CGCCCCCCUAAUUUUGCAAGUCGACCGAUGAAGCCCUUCGGGGUGGAUUAGCGGCGGACGGGUGAGUAACACGUGGGUAACCUGCCUUAUAGAGGGGGAUAGCCUUCCGAAAGGAAGAUUAAUACCGCAUAAAAUGUUUGUAUCGCAUGGUACGAACAUCAAAGGAGUAAUCCGCUAUAAGAUGGACCCGCGGCGCAUUAGCUAGUUGGUGAGGUAAAGGCCCACCAAGGCGACGAUGCGUAGCCGACCUGAGAGGGUGAUCGGCCACAUUGGAACUGAGACACGGUCCAGACUCCUACGGGAGGCAGCAGUGGGGAAUAUUGCGCAAUGGGGGAAACCCUGACGCAGCAACGCCGCGUGAAUGAAGAAGGCCUUAGGGUUGUAAAGUUCUGUUUUCUGGGACGAUAAUGACGGUACCAGAGGAGGAAGCCACGACUAACUACGUGCCAGCAGCCGCGGUAAUACGUAGGUGGCAAGCGUUGUCCGGAUUUACUGGACGUAAAGGAUGCGUAGGCGGAUGUUUAAGUGAGAUGUGAAAUACCCCGAGCUCAACUUUGGGUGCUGC